rfam:Mustela putorius furo unplaced genomic scaffold scaffold00023, whole genome shotgun sequence.
AGCUUUGCGCAGUGGCAGUAUCGUAGCCAAUGAGGUUUAUCCGAGGCGCGAUUAUUGCUAAUUGAAAAGAUGUUUAUUGUUUAUUGCCGUGACACCUUCACAAUGCUCUUCUCAUUUGAAGAGGAUGUUCAAAAAAAAUUUUUUUUGCAUGUUUAUAAAA